rnacentral:rRNA from 1 species
CAGCCGCCGCGGUAAUACCGGCGGCCCGAGUGGCGGCCACUAUUAUUGGGCCUAAAGCGUCCGUAGCCGGGCUGGUAAGUCCCCCGGGAAAUCUGGCGGCUUAACCGUCAGAAUUCCGGGGGAUACUGCCAGCCUAGGGACCGGGAGAGGCCGGGGGUAUUCCCGGGGUAGGGGUGAAAUCCUGUAAUCCCGGGAGGACCACCUGUGGCGAAGGCGCCCGGCUGGAACGGGUCCGACGGUGAGGGACGAAGGCCAGGGGAGCGGACCGGAUUAGCUACCCGGGUAGUCCUGGCGGUAAACGAUGCGGACUAGGUAGCGGGCCAGCUCCGAGCUGGCGCGGUGCCGGAGGGAAGCCGUUAAGUCCGCCGCCUGGGGAGUACGGCCGCAAGGCUGAAACUUAAAGGAAUUGGCGGG